rnacentral:tRNA from 1 species
GCCGAGGUGGCGGAAUGGCAUACGCGUCCGGCUUAAACCCGGAUGCCGAAAGGCUUGCGAGUUCGAGUCUCGCCCUCGGUA